UACGUAGGGUGCAAGCGUUGUCCGGAAUUAUUGGGCGUAAAGAGCUCGUAGGCGGUUCGUCGCGUCGGCUGUGAAAACCCGGAGCUCAACUCCGGGCCUGCAGUCGAUACGGGCGGACUCGAGUUCGGCAGGGGAGACUGGAAUUCCUGGUGUAGCGGUGAAAUGCGCAGAUAUCAGGAGGAACACCGGUGGCGAAGGCGGGUCUCUGGGCCGAUACUGACGCUGAGGCGCGAAAGCCAGGGGAGCAAACGGG
rnacentral:rRNA from 1 species